rnacentral:rRNA from 1 species
UACAGGGGGCUCGAGCGUUAGUCGGAAUCACUGGGCUUAAAGGGUGCGUAGGCGGCCUGUCAAGUGUUUUGUGAAAUCCCCGAGCUCAACUCGGGAACUGCAGGGCAAACUGAUGGGCUUGAAGCAGGUAGGGGCUGGAAGAACAGUUGGUGGAGCGGUGAAAUGCGUAGAUAUCAACUGGAAUGCCGAUGGGGAAGCCGUCCAGCUGGGCCUGUCUUGACGCUGAGGCACGAAAGCGUGGGGAGCAAACAGG